AUAUUAAUAAGGGGAGGAAAAGAAAAUAACAAUGAUUCCCCUAGUAACGGCGAGUGAAGCGGGACAAGCUCAAAAUGAAAAUCGGCUACCCAAGCGGGUUGUCGAAUUGUAGCCUAUAGACAGGUUGUCAGUGUGUGACCCAGGUAAAAGUCUUUUGAAACAAGGCAUCACAGAGGGUGAGAAUCCCGUCUAUGAUCUGGAGUUCGCCACGUACGACGCUUGUUCAUCGAGUCGAGUUGUUUGGGAUUGCAGCUCUAAAUGGCGGGUAAAUUUCCGCUAAAGCUAAAUAUUGAUACGAGACCGAUAGCGCACAAGUA
rnacentral:rRNA from 1 species